ensembl:lincRNA Gm3143 predicted gene 3143
GCAGCACCCUCCAUGGCCUCUGCAUUAGCUCCUGCCUCCAGGUUCCUGCCCUGCUUGAGUUCCUGUCCUGACUUCCUUUGGUGAUGAACAUCGAUGUGGAAAUGGAAAGACACCCGCCUAAGAUCACAGGUCAAACCAGGCAUGGUUGUUUAUGCCUGUUCUCCAAACAUUAAGGAAGUAGACGCAGGAGGAUCCGAGUUCGAAACCAGCUCUGAAUGUACAGAGAAUUCGAGGCCAGCUGGGCCUACAGGACCCGUUUCUCAACAACCAACCAACCAUGGAAACCGGAGAAACUCCUUCCAAAAACGGCAACUCUUAAGUGGAUGUAUGUGCCCUGCACCCGGCCUCCCAUCACAGGAAAGAUGGCAGUCAAACAUUAAAGUCGAACCCAGGAACUCAGGGCUGCAGCUGUUGCUAGAAAUGAUUGCUCUUUCCUCAGUGGAUAACAGGAAGGCCCUACACUGCUCUUUCACUGUUGCAGCCCAAACCCUUCCUUGCCCUCCAAGACAGUCUAAGCUUCGGAAUGGAAAUGAUUGACGGACCCUCAGAGCCGACCUCGAUGUGCCCAGAUGCCCUGG